UAAUGAUGGUGAGGAAAAAUGACGAGUAGAGAUUUAAACAUAUCCCAAGCUUGAUAUAUAUUCUCUCCAUAUUUUUGUUUAAAGCUUAGGAUUUCACUUCUCAACUU